AAUAGAUACCCCGGUAGUCCACGCCGUAAACGAUGAGUGCUAAGUGUUAGAGGGUUUCCGCCCUUUAGUGCUGCAGCUAACGCAUUAAGCACUCCGCCUGGGGAGUACGGUCGCAAGACUGAAACUCAAAGGAAUUGACGGGGGCCCGCACAAGCGGUGGAGCAUGUGGUUUAAUUCGAAGCAACGCGAAGAACCUUACCAGGUCUUGACAUCCUCUGACAACUCUAGAGAUAGAGCGUUCCCCUUCGGGGGACAGAGUGACAGGUGGUGCAUGGUUGUCGUCAGCUCGUGUCGUGAGAUGUUGGGUUAAGUCCCGCAACGAGCGCAACCCUUGAUCUUAGUUGCCAGCAUUCAGUUGGGCACUCUAAGGUGACUGCCGGUGACAAACCGGAGGAAGUGGGGAUGACGUCAAAUCAUCAUGCCCCUUAUGACCUGGGCUACACACGUGCUACAAUGGAUGGUACAAAGGGCUGCAAGACCGCGAGGUCAAGCCAAUCCCAUAAACCAUUCUCAGUUCGGAUUGU
rnacentral:rRNA from 1 species